AUACAGAGGGUGCAAGCGUUAAUCGGAAUUACUGGGCGUAAAGCGUACGUAGGCGGUUCGUUAAGUUAGAUGUGAAAGCCCCGGGCUUAACCUGGGAACUGCAUUUAAAACUGGCGGACUAGAGUUGAGUAGAGGGGAGUGGAAUUUCAGGUGUAGCGGUGAAAUGCGUAGAGAUCUGAAGGAACACCAGUGGCGAAGGCGACUCCCUGGACUAAAACUGACGCUGAGGUACGAAAGCGUGGGUAGCAAACAGGAUUAGAAACCCUAGUAGUCC
rnacentral:rRNA from 1 species